rnacentral:rRNA from 1 species
AGUGAACGCUGGCGGUAGGCCUAACACAUGCAAGUCGAACGGCAGCACAGUAAGAGCUCGCUCUUACGGGUGGCGAGUGGCGGACGGGUGAGGCAUACAUCGACAUCUACUUUUUCGUGGGGGAUAACGUAGGGAAACUUACGCUAAUACCGCAUACGACCUACGGGUGAAAGCAGGAGAUCUUCGGACCUUGCGCGCUUGAUUGAGCCGAUGUCGGAUUAGCUAUUUGGCGAGGUAACGGCCCACCAAGGCGACGAUCCGUAGCUGGUCUGAGAGGGUGAACAGCCACAGUGGACAGGAGCAACGGCCAAGACUCUAACGGGAGGAAAAAGGAGGGAAUCUUCGGCUAAGGGCGAAAGCGUGGCCGAGCAAAGCCGCGUGAGUGAAGAAGGCCUUGGGUUUGUAAAUCCCUUUUGUUCGGAAAGAAAAGAAGUGAGUUAAAACCCCCCUGUGGUGGCGGUACCCAAGAAAAAAGCACCGGCUAACUUCGU